UCCAAUCUGCAGCGCUUCCUCGACUGCACCACCCCGACAGUCGACACGCACAUUCUCCCCAAGACCAAUGGCCGGCUGUCCAAUGACGCGUGGCACCAUGCCGACGCCGACAGCGUCGAGUACUUCAACCUCGCCGACCUGUGGGAGCAGUACUACGAGUGGAGCGCGUACGGCGCCGGAGCCACCGUGCAGCUGCACGGAGGGGACAAAGUGGUUCAGUACUACGUCCCGUACUUGUCAGGGAUACAGCUAUACACCAACAAAGUCCUGAAUGCGUCCAGGAGUUUUGGUGAGGAUUAUGGCAUGGACUUCUGGAGCGAUGAUGACGACAAUGAGAAGAUGUCAAGAUCCUGGAGUUCAACAUCUGACGACUCAUUUAACUGCGACGUGGUAGGGGGGAACAGGAGGCGACCUGGCCAUUUGUACUUUGAGUUCUUUGAAGUUUGCUCUCCUUAUGGAAGGAUCCCACUCAUGGAUAAGGUAUAUGAACUAUCCCAGGGCUUUCCCGGGUUGACAUCGCUGAAGAGUGUCGACCUUUCGCCUGUCAGUUGGAUGUCAGUUGCCUGGUAUCCUAUCUACCACAUUCCCUACCAACGCAAUGUGAAGGACUUGUCUGCGUGCUUCCUAACUUACCAUACCAUUUCCUCUUCAUUUCAAGAUCACACACCGGAGACCAUGACCUAUGGCUCAGCUGCCAGUGGGAAACAGAAUGACCAGAAGGCCAACACUGUAUCACUAGCCCCGUUUGGACUCGCAGCAAACAAGAUACAGGGCUCUCUGUGGACCAACCCCCGGACAGGAGAUCAUAAGAGGAUCGUCUCCCUCUUCGGCGCAGCAGACUCCUGGCUUAAGCAGCUUGGAGUCCGGCACCAUGACUUCAACUACUUCGUCACUCACCCCAUGUGA
rnacentral:rRNA from 1 species